UACGUAGGGGGCAAGCGUUGUCCGGAAUCAUUGGGCGUAAAGAGCGUGUAGGCGGCUCGGUAAGUCCGCUGUGAAAGUCCAGGGCUCAACCCUGGAAUGCCGGUGGAAACUGUCGGGCUAGAGUCCGGAAGAGGCGAGUGGAAUUCCUGGUGUAGCGGUGAAAUGCGCAGAUAUCAGGAGGAACACCAAUGGCGAAGGCAGCUCGCUGGGACGGUACUGACGCUAAGACGCGAAAGCGUGGGGAGCAAACAGG
rnacentral:rRNA from 1 species